UUGAUAUGCUGUCUUCGCUCAUUGAAUAUGCUGGUAAGAAAAAACCCCAUGAUACUUACGUGCAGUUUUUAAAAGGAUGUUGUCUAGGACGUUCUAUUGUAUAUGUAAUAUAUAAGACAUAAGAUGAUCCGGGUGUUAACUGAGUACUUUUGACAAAAUUUGUCUGACCUUAGAACCAAGAAUAAUCUUUUUUUCCCCUGAGCCUUUGAUGUGAUUCCAGAUCGAGUAACUAUCUUUCUAUUUUAUUUUUGUGAACACUGGCCAUUUGGAGAAGUGGUUCUCACUGCCCACCAAGUCACCUGAAGGAUUUUUAGAAAGAACAGAGCCCCAGAUACCAUCCCAGCUGUGCAGAAUCAGAAGCAACCAGAGGUGAAUGAGUUGCCAACUUGUUCUGGCCAUCAACAUUUAAAAAUCAGAAGAUUUCAAAUAAAACUCAGGACUUCCAGCUUCUCUUUAAAAAAGAGGAGUAUAUGGACAUAACAUCCGCGGGCCUGCCUAGCAACAAUGAGCUGGAGCUGAGGAGCAGCUGUGCCCUUUACAUUGGGCCUUAUAUAUUUUAUUUAUUUAUUCAUGAGAG